rnacentral:rRNA from 1 species
CGUAGGGGGCAAGCGUUGUCCGGAUUUAUUGGGCGUAAAGCGCGUGUAGGCGGCUAUGCAGGUCCGCUGUGAAAACUCGAGGCUCAACCUCGAGACGUCGGUGGAAACCGCAUGGCUAGAGUCCGGAAGAGGAGAGUGGAAUUCCCGGUGUAGCGGUGAAAUGCGCAGAUAUCGGGAAGUACACCCGUGGCGAAGGCGGCUCUCUGGGACGGUACUGACGCUGAGACGCGAAAGCGUGGGGAGCGAACAGGAUUAGAUACCCUGGUAGUCCACGCCGUAAACGAUGGGUGCUAGGUGUGGGAGGUGUCGACUCCUUCCGUGCCGCAGCUAACGCAUUAAGCACCCCGCCUGGGGAGUACGGCCGCAAGGCUA